UUUAGGAUUUCCGUUUACCUGAGCAUUUGAAAAGCACUUUCUCUCGUCUCUUUUCUAAGAUUGAGAUUUACCCUUAGAAAAUAAGAGAGCAGCCAAAUCUAGAAUGACAAUUCUUUCUAUUUGUUAAUAGAUUUAAAAAAAAAAAAAAAAACACCACACAUGGUAAUACAAGCCAGCGUGAGGUAAAUCAGGAGCCUCCUUUCCCCUUUUCAUAUUGAAUUGUGUAUUAAACCAAGGGGAGAGGAGUUAGUGCAAGACAACAUCACAAAACCUAAUAUAUCUGUGAAAAUGGAUAACAACAGGAUCUGAUGAAGUGGACUCUGGCCUAAGAAAGCUGAUGCCAUAAUCAGUUUUGUAGGAUAUUCAGGUUCUACAGAAAUUGUUUAUUUUUCCUGCAUGAUAGGAGAACCAACCCCACUGAAAAAUUAUUAAACAGAACUUUAUCUGUCA